rnacentral:lncRNA from 1 species
CAUAUAUGUAAAUGAGUUAUUUUUAUUUUUAUUUUUGCACAAAUUUAAUUUUGGAUUAAUGCACUCAUUAGAUUGUUACUUUUUAUUAAGUGUCUGAUUGCGAUGCGCCGACGUAUAGUCAUCAAUGUGUUGAUGGAUCGUCGUACGAUGUAGAUGUAGAUGUAGAUGUAUCUUCCAGGUUUAUUAUAUUCCAUAUAUUUAAAUCUAUAUGAUGCAGUGACUCUCCACUAUGUAGGCGCGUUUGAUGUGUUUGA